rnacentral:lncRNA from 1 species
UGAAGGUUAAGCAGGGGUACCACACAUCCCAGUGGGUAGAGCCCUUGGGACUGUGAGUUUGGGUCCCCUGGGCCUAUGUGACCCUGGAGGAGGAACUCCAUCAAUGGUGUCUCCCUGCGCUGGGAGGAUUAUUCCCGCUUCUAAGAGGCGUAUCUGAGUGGAGUGGGCCUGGCAACUAAGCGUCCAUUCAUCCUAAGCUCGCCUUUGGGAAGAGUUGUGUGCCAGUUCACCAAGUGGCCCCAAGAUUCUCCCAAAUACUUCCCUUGGUCUACCUGGCAGAAGUCCUCCGAGAAUUGGGAACUCAGGUAUUGGGAGGGCAAGAGGAAGAGGGUGGUACUGCCUCCCGGAUAAGGUGACCAACUUUCCCAGUUUGCCCCGGACUGGGGGAGUGGGUUCCAGGGAUGCAGGGCUUUCCACGCUAAAACAGAAACAGCCGUAGACUCUGCCGGCCACCUGGGCUGUGGCCCCAGAAGCAGGUGGCCGGGAGGCUCUAGGGAUGGCGGGGGCAGGUGAGGGGAGACUGGUGGGCUCCGGAAGGCUUCUCAGCGCGGAGCUCCAGCUGCGGGGAGGCGCGGCCCCUCCCGGAUGCCGGGACGAGGGAGGGG